ensembl:snoRNA
AAGUCAUUUCCAAAAGGGCUUGUGGGCUGUGAAUCCAGGCACUCUUAACAUUUUGAAGUUCUCUGUAAGAAGCCACAGUCACUCAAUAGUGUUGUGUUUUCUUGAGGAGAUGUAAGG